GUAGUUAGCCGGGGCUUCCUCCUUGGGUACCGUCACUUUCUUCGUCCCCAAGGACAGAGGUUUACAAUCCGAAAACCUUCUUCCCUCACGCGGCGUUGCUGGGUCAGAGUUGCCUCCAUUGCCCAAUAUUCCCCACUGCUGCCUCCCGUAGGAGUCUGGACCGUAUCUCAGUUCCAGUGUGGCCGAUCACCCUCUCAGGUCGGCUACCCAUCGUUGGCUUGGUGGGCCGUUACCUCACCAACUACCUAAUGGGACGCGAGCCCCUCUACAAGCGAUAAAUCUUUUACCCCUGUGCCAUGCAGCACUGUGGUCUCAUGCGGUAUUAGCAGCCGUUUCCAGCUGUUGUCCCCCUCUUGUAGGCAGGUCGCUCACGCGUUACUCACCCGUGCGCCGGUCGUCGACAAUCGAAGCAAGCUUCAAUCUCGUUACCCCGCGACUUGCAUGUGUUAAGCCUGUAGCUAGCGUUCAUCCUGAGCCAGAAUCAAACUCUGA
rnacentral:rRNA from 1 species